CAGAGUUUUCUAAACUCCCAAACCCAUGUGAACUUACCAUUGUUGCCUCGGCGGAGCCUACCCUGUAGCUACCCUAUAAGGUGGCUACCCUGUAGCGCCCCGCCGGUGGAUUUUCAAACUCUUGUUAUUUAUAGUAAUCUGAGAGUCUUAUUUUAAAUAAGUCA
rnacentral:misc_RNA from 2 species